AGGGAAACAAGCACAGAGACUAAAUGAUUCAGCUGAAGUCUCACAAGUAAAUUUCAGAGGCAGGAUUAUCACUCAGGACUCCUUGACUACAACUUGUGUUCAUUCCUCCAGAUGACAGUACCUCCAAGAUCUCACACACUGUCACAUAUGUCCUCCUGUAUAGAUUACAUGGCUGAGUUAGAUACCCCAUCCUUCCUACUAUCUCGGUGUAGAUGAACAGAUACUGUGGUGAUGAGCGAGAACCACGACUACAGUAAGAGAGCAAGAAUUACAGGUAAAUAACUCAUCUCAAACUCAGAAAGGGAUAGCAAAUUAUUUUAAAAUACCCAGAGGAUUCAGCUGUACUAACUUCAGUGGCAUUUAGACUGCACUAUCAUCAAGAGACCUUUGAGGAAAUAAUGAACUAUUUUUGUUCAUUUCCUUCAAAUAAAGUGCAUUGCCAGUGUAAAAAUGAAAUCAUAAUAUUAUAUGUAUGUACCCUCUCUUUAUAUUUUGUGUCAUGU